UACGGGGGGGCAAGCGUUGUUCGGAAUUACUGGGCGUAAAGGGCUCGUAGGUGGCCAACUAAGUCAUACGUGAAAUCCCUCAGCUUAACUGGGGAACUGCGUCUGAUACUGGAUGGCUUGAGUUUGGGAGAGGGAUGCGGAAUUCCAAGGUGUAGCGGUGAAAUGACGUAGAUAUCUGGAGGAACACCGGUGGCGAAGGCGGCAUCCUGGACCAAUACUGACACUGAGGAGCGAAAGCCAGGGGAGCAAACGGGG
rnacentral:rRNA from 1 species